AGAAAGGUGAUCAUGAUUCCCUACAUGGAAAUUUCUGUGACAAUGAUGAGAGGUUUUAAGGGCCCUAAAGAGUAAUGAGGCUUUAUCUAAAAUGCCUUGAGUCUUUUCACUAAAACCUAUAAUAACAAGCUUUUAGUCAUGCUUAGCUCAGAUCCUGGAGGUCUGCAAUUCAGCAAGUAAGACGAGCAGGGGCUUGAGGGGAUAAAGUUAAACACGGUCAAUAUAUAUCAGCUGGUUCUCUGAGUGACUGACUGCAGACACUGUGGCCCCGGAGGACAGGCAGUUCAUUAACAGCUCAUUUAGUCACAGGAAGAGAGGUUUCACAACACUGUGUGUGUGUGUGUGUGUGUGUGUGUGUGUGUGUGUGUGUGUGUGUGUGUGUGUGUGUGUGUGUGUGUGUGGUCCCUCCAGGGCUUUGUGCAGGUGUUCAAAGAGUCCCUGAAGAGGAACAUGGUGUGGCUGGGUGCCGCCUGCAUCAUACUGGGUCUCAUAGAGCCUCUGGUCUGAAGGAUGGUGAAGGACGACACAGAACUGAUAAGAAGACCUCAUUCGGCACUAGGAUUGGCCUACUUUAGUUGUCCCUGUGGUCAGCGGUACAGCGGAGAUCUAUCUGAGAGGUCCGCUUGGCAGAGGGUUUGCUGUGCAGAAGGGCCUGGGUUGUUUUUUUUGUGAGAUUAUUAUUAGUUACGCUGCACGUUUGACCAUGAACGUCUGGUCUGGAGAGUCUGUCUGUCUCUCCCCAAGGCCUUCCAACAUACAGCUCAACAUGUGCAGCAGGACAGAUGGAACCGCCCCCAACCAAAAGAGGAAGAAACCUCAGGAUUGAAGGAAGGAAAUUAGAAAAUGCGGUCUUAUGCCCUUACCAUAACCACACAAUGCUAAGAGUUGCUCAAUCAAUUUGUACUGAUAGUGUGGGCUAAAGUUUUCAACGAGAUAAAAUGUCUUUUUCUGAUAUGACUGGUUUUGAGGGCUAGUAGGAGCAAAUGUAGUAAUGUCCCAGAAGGAUCUGAUGAGUGGUGCGAGACUGGACAUGACGUUAGGGGGUUGUUGCUUUUCCGAAAAGCUUUGUAGAAAGUGACUCUUCUACUGUUAGUAACUCUUAUGCUGAGUGUUUUUGGAAUGAUAAUAUGUAGAAUGAAUGUGUAUAUUAGUGGGUGUUGUGUGUCUGCUAGAAUAUGGGUUAUU
rnacentral:lncRNA from 13 species